ACUGCGGCUAAGAUGGCGGCGACGGCCAGGCGGGGCUGGGGAGCUGCGGCUGUUGCCGCCGGGCUGCGCAGGCGGUUCUGUCAUAUGUUGAAGAAUCCAUACACCAUUAAGAAACAGCCUCUGCAUCAGUUUGUACAAAGACCACUUUUCCCACUACCUGCAGCCUUUUAUAACCCAGGCAGUUAUUUAGGAUUGAAGGAGUAAAAAGUGUCUUCUUUGGACCAGAUUUCAUCACUGUCACAAAGGAAAAUGAAGAAUUAGACUGGAAUUUACUGAAACCAGAUAUUUAUGCAACAAUCAUGGACUUCUUUGCAUCUGGCUUACCCCUGGUUACUGAGGAAACACCUUCAGGAGAAGCAGGAUCUGAAGAAGAUGAUGAAGUUGUGGCAAUGAUUAAGGAAUUGUUAGAUACUAGAAUACGGUUAUGGAUGAUGAAUCAGAUGAAAAAGAAGCAAACUCACCUUAAAAUAAUCUGGAUUUUCUUUGGGCAUAACAGUCAGACUUGUUGAUAAUAUAUAUCAAGUUUUUAUUAUUAAUAUGCUGAGGAACUUGAAGAUUAAUAAAAUAUGCUCUUCAGAGAAUGAUAUAUAAAUAUUG
rnacentral:sRNA from 1 species